rnacentral:rRNA from 1 species
GCUAGCGACGUGCCUAAGGUAUGCAAGUCGAAUGCCGAUUUAUCGGCAUGGCAGACGGCUGAGUAACACAUGGGAAUCUACCUCAAACUCGAGAAUAGCCCAUCGAAAGGUGGUGUAAUACUCGAUAGUUCCGUUUACGGUAAAGCUCCGGCGGUUUGAGAUGAGCCCAUGUCCUAUCAGGUUGUUGGUGGGGUAAUUGCCUACCAAGCCUAUGACGGGUAGCUGGUUUGAGAGGAUGAUCAGCCAGACUGGGACUGCGAUACGGCCCAGACUCCUACGGGAGGCAGCAACUAGGAAUCAUGCGCAAUGGACGAAAGUCUGACGCUGCGACGUCGCGUGAGGGAUGAAGGUCUUAGGAUCGUAAACCUCUUUUAUCUGGGAACAAGUUCUGAGUGUACCAGAUGAAUAAGUGCCUGCCAACCACGUGUCAGAAGCAUCGGUAAUGCGUGGGGCACGAGCGUUAUCCGGAUUUACUGGGCGUAAAGAGAUGCGUAGGCGCCUUUUUAAGUCACUUGUAAAAUCUCCCCGCUCAACGGGGAAACUGCAAGUGAUACUGAAUUGGUUGAGUCAAGUAGAGGAGAGGGGAAUUCCUGGUGGAGCGGUUAAAUGCGUUGAUAUCAGGAGGAAUACCAAGUGCGAAGGCACCUCUCUGGACUUGUACUGACGCUAAGGCUCGAAAGUGUGGGGAGCAAAACGGAUUAGAUACCCGUGUAGUCCACACUGUAAACGAUCCCUGCUAGAUGUUUGC